GACUUCUUAGCUCAGUGGUAGAGCGUGAGAUUCCAGUUUAUGGUUAUUCCUCAAGGUCAUCCGUUCAAUCCGGGUAGAGGUCA